rnacentral:rRNA from 1 species
GCAUGUAUAAGCUAAAGCUGGAAAAUAGUGAAGCCGCGGACAGCUCAUUAAUACACUCUUAAUCCUAGCAAUGCUUACCAUGAUGGAUAUCUGUGCUAAUUGUAGAGCUAAUACACGCAAAAAAGCCCGAGUUUCUUGGGAGCAUUUAUUAGAACAAUACCAAUCGGGCUCUGCCCGCUGUUGGUGAAUCUGAAUAACUGUGCAGAUCGCAGGGUCUUUGUACCGGCGACACAUUGCAGGAGUGAGUGCCUUAUCAACUUUCGAUGGUAGUUUAUAUGCCUACCAUGGUUAUUACGGGUAACGGAGAAUUAGGGUUCGACUCCGGAGAGGGAGCCUGAGAGACGGCUGCCAGUCCUAAGGGACGCAGCAGGCGCGCAAAUUACACAAUGACAGCAAACUGUUGAUGUAGUGACAAGAGAUAUCGAGGCGGUUCUCUAUGAGGCCCGUCAUCGGAAUGAGUACAAUUUAAACUCUUUAACGAGGAUCAAGUGGAGGGCAAGUCUGGUGCCAGCAGCCGCGGUAAUUCCAGCUCCAUGAGUGUAUAUUAAAGUUGUUGCGGUUAAAAAGCUCGUAGUUGGAUCUGCGACCUUAGAGAGCGGUCCCCCACAGGGUGCGUACUGCUGCUCAGGGUCUUGAUUGUCAGUUUGUCUGUGGUGCCUUUAAACGGGUGUCACAGGUGGCUGACGCGUUUACUUUGAAAAAAUUCGAGUGCUCAAAGCAGGCGCUAUCGCCUGAAGAGUGGUGCAUGGAAUAAUGGAAUAGGAUCUCGGUUCUAUUUCGUUGGUUUCGGAGCGCGAGAUAAUGAUUAAGAGGGACAGACGGGGGCAUUUGUAUUGCUGCGUUAGAGGUGAAAUUCUUGGAUCGCAGCAAGACAAACAACUGCGAAGGCAUUUGCCAAGAAUGUUUUCAUUAAUCAAGAACGAAAGUUAGAGGUUCGAAGGCGAUCAGAUACCGCCCUAGUUCUAACCGUAAACGAUGUCAACUAGCGAUUUGCCAGCGUUAAUGAUGACCUGGCAAGCAGCUUUCCGGAAACGAAAGUGUCUAGAUUCCGGGGGAAGUAUGGUUGCAAAGCUGAAACUUAAAGGAAUUGACGGAAGGGCACCACCAGGAGUGGAGCCUGCGGCUUAAUUUGACUCAACACGGGAAAACUCACCCGGCCCGGACACCGUAAGGAUUGACAGAUUGAAAGCUCUUUCUUGAUUUGGUGGUUGGUGGUGCAUGGCCGUUCUUAGUUGGUGGAGCGAUUUGUCUGGUUAAUUCCGAUAACGAACGAGACUCUGACUUAUUAACUAGUGUGCCAAUCUAACAGAUCGGUACUACUUCUUAGAGG